UCGGGAAUUUUGGGCAAUGGGCGAAAGCCUGACCCAGCAACGCCGCGUGAAGGAUGAAGUAUUUCGGUAUGUAAACUUCGUAAGAAUAGGAAGAAUAAAUGACGGUACUAUUUGUAAGGUCCGGCUAACUACGUGCCAGCAGCCGCGGUAAUACGUAGGGACCAAGCGUUGUUCGGAUUUACUGGGCGUAAAGGGCGCGUAGGCGGUGUGUCAAGUCAGUUGUGAAAUCUCCGAGCUUAACUCGGAACGGUCAACUGAUACUGUCACACUAGAGUACAGAAGGGGCAAUCGGAAUUCUUGGUGUAGCGGUGAAAUGCGUAGAUAUCAAGAGGAACACCUGAGGCGAAGGCGGGUUGCUGGGCUGAUACUGACGCUGAGGCGCGAAAGCUAGGGUAGCAAACGGGAUUAGAUACCCUUGUAGUCCCUGAGCGGGCUGGCAAGGCG
rnacentral:rRNA from 1 species